CCUACGGGAGGCUGCAGUGAGGAAUAUUGGUCAAUGGACGAGAGUCUGAACCAGCCAAGUAGCGUGAAGGAUGACUGCCCUAUGGGUUGUAAACUUCUUUUAUAUGGGAAUAAAAUGUUUCACGUGUGGGAUUUUGUAUGUACCAUAUGAAUAAGCAUCGGCUAACUCCGUGCCAGCAGCCGCGGUAAUACGGAGGAUACGAGCGUUAUCCGGAUUUAUUGGGUUUAAAGGGGGCGUAGGCGGAUUGUUAAGUCAGUUGUGAAAGUUUGCGGGUCAACCGUAAAAGUGCAGUUGAAAUUGGCAGUCUUGAGUACAGGAGAGGUAGGCGGAAUUCGUGGUGUAGCGGUGAAAUGCU
rnacentral:rRNA from 1 species